GUGUUCGCUUCGGCAGCACACAUACUAAAACUGGAACGAUACAGAGAUUAGCAUGGCCCCUGCGCAAGGACGACACAAAUCUGUGAAGUGUUCCAUAUUUUU
ensembl:snRNA U6 U6 spliceosomal RNA